AGCAGCAUGGCGCAGUCUGGAAGCGCGCGGGGCCCAUAUGCUCAUCGUCUAAGCAGAAACCCCGAGGUCACUCGAUCGAAACGAGUUGCUGCUA